rnacentral:rRNA from 1 species
GCUCUUUCGGGAGGGGCAUUGGAAACUGGGGAACUUGUGUGCGCAAAAGGAAAGUGGAAUUCCAUGUGUGCGGUGAAAUGCUGAGAAAUAUGAUGGAACACCAGUGGGAAGGCGGCUUUCUGGUCUGUAGCUGAUGCUGAUGAGCUAAAGCAUGGGGAUCAAACAGGAUUAUAUACCCUGCUGGUCCACCCCGCAAACAAUGAUGGCUAAGUGUUGGGGGGUUUCCGCCCCUUAGCGCUGCAGCUAACGCAUUAAUUACUCCCCGUGGGUGGUAAGACCGCAAGGUUGAAACUCAAAGGAAUUGACUGGGACGCGCCCAAGCGGGGGGUGGAGUGGGUGGUUCGAAGCAACGCGCGCAAAUUCCUUAUCUUGAUUGAUUUGACCAGUCUAGAUGGAAACUUUCCCCUUCCGCGGACAAAAGAAGGUGGUGCAUGGUUGUCCUCCCUCGUGUCGUGAGAUGGUGGGUUAAAUCCCGCAACCAGAGCGCCCCUCUAGCUUAGAUGCCAUCAUUAAGUUGUGCACUCUAUGUUGACAUUCCGUGACAAAACAGAAGGGGGUGGGGAUGACGUCAAAUCAUCAUGCCCCUUAUGAUGUGUGCUACUGCCUGCUGCGAUGGAAAUACGGAA